rnacentral:rRNA from 1 species
GACGAACGCUGGCGGCGUGCUUAACACAUGCAAGUCGAACGGAAAGGCCCUGCUUUUGUGGGGUGCUCGAGUGGCGAACGGGUGAGUAACACGUGAGUAACCUGCCCUUGACUUUGGGAUAACUUCAGGAAACUGGGGCUAAUACCGGAUAGGAGCUCCUGCUGCAUGGUGGGGGUUGGAAAGUUUCGGCGGUUGGGGAUGGACUCGCGGCUUAUCAGCUUGUUGGUGGGGUAGUGGCUUACCAAGGCUUUGACGGGUAGCCGGCCUGAGAGGGUGACCGGGCACAUUGGGACUGAGAUACGGCCCAGACUGCUACGGGAGGCAGCAGUGGGAAAUAUUGCGCAAUGGGCGGAAGCCUGAUACAGCGGCGCCGCGUGCGGGAUGACGGCCUUCGGGUUGUAAACCGCUUUCGCCUGUGACGAAGCGUGAGUGACGGUAAUGGAUAAAGAAGCACCGGCUAACUACGUG